UACGAAGGGGGCUAGCGUUGUUCGGAAUUACUGGGCGUAAAGCGCGCGCAGGCGGUUCUUCAAGUCAGAGGUGAAAGCCCAGAGCUCAACUCUGGAAUGGCCUUUGAGACUAGAGAACUAGGGUACGGGAGAGGUGAGUGGAAUUCCGAGUGUAGAGGUGAAAUUCGUAGAUAUUCGGAAGAACACCAGUGGCGAAGGCGGCUCACUGGUCCGGUACUGGACGCUGAGGUGCGAAAGCGUGGGGAGCAAACAGG
rnacentral:rRNA from 1 species